UACGGGAGGCAGCAGUGGGGAAUCUUGCACAAUGGAGGAAACUCUGAUGCAGCGACGCCGCGUGAGCGAUGAAGCCCUUCGGGGUGUAAAGCUCUUUCGACGGGAACGAUAAUGACGGUACCCGGAGAAGAAGCUGCGGCUAACUACGUGCCAGCAGCCGCGGUAAUACGUAGGCAGCAAGCGUUGUUCGGAGUUACUGGGCGAAAAAAGUGCGUAGGCGGUGCCCUAAGUCUGUUGUGAAAUCUCCCGGCUUAACUGGGAGGGUGCGGUGGAAACUGGGGUGCUUGAGUGUGGGAGAGGUUGGCGGAAUUCCUGGUGUAGCGGUGAAAUGCGUAGAUAUCAGGAGGAACACCGGUGGUGUAGACGGCUAACUGGACCAUGACUGACGCUGAGGCACGAAAGCGUGGGUAGCAAACAGGAUUAGAUACCCUGGUAGUCCACGCCCUAAACGAUGCACACUUGGUGUGAGCCAUUCAUUUGGUUCGUGCCGGAGCUAACGCGUUAAGUGUGCCGCCUGGGGAGUACGGUCGCAAGGCUGAAACUCAAAUGAAUUGACCGGAAGGGC
rnacentral:rRNA from 1 species